rnacentral:rRNA from 1 species
UACGUAGGGGGCAAGCGUUGUCCGGAUUCAUUGGGCGUAAAGAGCGUGUAGGCGGCGCGGUUAGUCGGCGGUGAAAGCCCGGAGCUCAACUCCGGGUCGGCCGUCGAUACUUCCGGGCUUGAGCACUGUAGAGGCAGAUGGAAUUCCGGGUGUAGCGGUGGAAUGCGUAGAGAUCCGGAAGAACACCGGUGGCGAAGGCGGUAUGCUGGGCAGUUGCUGACGCUGAUGCGCGAAAGCGUGGGGAGCGAACAGG